rnacentral:rRNA from 1 species
AUUGAACGCUGGCGGCAGGCCUAACACAUGCAAGUCGAGCGGGGUUUUCGGACCUAGCGGCGGACGGGUGAGUAAUGCGUAGGAAGCUACCCGGUAGAGGGGGAUACCAGUUGGAAACGACUGUUAAUACCGCAUAAUGUCUACGGACCAAAGUGUGGGACCUUCGGGCCACAUGCUAUCGGAUGCGCCUACGUGGGAUUAGCUAGUUGGUGAGGUAAUGGCUCACCAAGGCGACGAUCCCUAGCUGGUUUGAGAGGAUGAUCAGCCACACUGGAACUGAGACACGGUCCAGACUCCUACGGGAGGCAGCAGUGGGGAAUAUUGGACAAUGGGCGCAAGCCUGAUCCAGCCAUGCCGCGUGUGUGAAGAAGGCCUUCGGGUUGUAAAGCACUUUCAGUAGGGAGGAAGCGUUGUGUGUUAAUAGUACACAGCGUUGACGUUACCUACAGAAGAAGCACCGGCUAACUCUGUGCCAGCAGCCGCAGUAAUAC